UCAUACAAUGAACUAUCAGGAAGUUUUCCUUCAUGGGUGGUGACACCAACUCUUCAAGUGAAUCUGGUAGCAAACAACUUCAUAUUUGAUAGAUCAAAUAGCAGUGAUUUUGGAAAUUUGAA